rnacentral:misc_RNA from 1 species
GAUGAAGAACGCAGCGAAAUGCGAUAAGUAAUGUGAAUUGCAGAAUUCAGUGAAUCAUCGAAUCUUUGAACGCACAUGGCGCCUUCCAGUAUCCUGGGAGGCAUGCCUGUCCGAGCGUCGUUUCAACCCUCGAGCCCCCGUGGCCCGGCGUUGGGGAUCAGCCACGGCAGGCCCCUAAAACCAGUGGCGGACCCGAAGGCCCUCUCCUUUGCGCAGUAGCAUCAGCCUCGCAUUGGGAUCCCUCGGCGUCCUGCCUCUAAACCCCCCACAAGUCCGCUCCGGCGGCACCAAGGUUGACCUCGGAUCAGGUAGGAAUACCCGCUGAACUUAAGCAUAUCAAUAAGCGGAGGA